rnacentral:piRNA from 1 species
GGGCAUAUUCCUGUCUUUGUCAGUUGUA